CAUAGCCGCCCCACAUGGCUUGAACCUCAUGUGGCCCCCACUGGUCAACGAAGUCAAGCUCACCUUUGAUAGACUUUAUCAAUUUUUGAUCAAAUCCUAACAGAGGAGAGUGGUGGAGUAGGAAAAGAGCACCUCUUUGAUAUGGGCAUCUAUGGAUUUGCAGUCAAAGACAUCAUACAGAUCCAAAGCUUUAGAAGCAUAACCCCUUGCUUGGAUUUGCAUCUUCAUUGGCAUGUCUGUGUCCUCUACCAAGGCUUUUCCUUCCAACAUCUUCUGUUCUCUCUCUCUCUCUAGAAGAAAACCCAGUUGGGAUAUGCACAAUCCUGAUAUUCUCUACCAUUCGCCUCACUUGCCUCUUCUUAUCUUCAAAAACCAAGGACAAUAAUCUUUGAAAUCUGACCUCACCGUUUUCCUAGUAUGAUGCAGAAAGUUCAUAAACAUUCCGGAAUCUUACAACUGUAAAGGAGUGACUCAUAAUUAAACACAAAUAUUGAGGUGGCACAUAUUCCAGCUCUCUUUCUGCUCAAAUUUUACUUUAUUCGUAUUCUAUGAAAAAGCAAAUCUCUCUCUCUCGAGUGACGCACGUCAUGGUCAUGAAGAUAAUGUUGAUGAAGAGGAUAGUAAUGGUGAGGCUCCUAAUAAGUCACGGUCUAAUUGGAUUUUACUGAUAAUUUAGGCAUCAAACUUACCUACCAUUGCCAUGUAUAUCUACACUUUUUUGUCGCAUUUUAUUUCCUGGUUUUCAGUUAAACUAACGCGGGAAUAGUCAUACCAUUGACUGUGAUUAAUUCUGUGUAUACUCUGCUUAAAAGAAAAAAAUGAUUUGAUGAAUGCAAGUGUGAUUAUUGUGCAAAUUGUCGCCAACUUGGCUCCUAAUUUGCGAUCGUUUGUAGCAACUGCUUUAACAGAAUAAACUAUACUAGUUAUCAGAAUUCAUUUUGCAUAUCAAGCUCCUUUGGUCAAUUAGUCCGAUGGUUCCUCCUUUCAUUGAAUGCUGCUUGACAAUGUAGUCCUCUUAUGUCUUACAUUGGGAGUAACAGAGAAUACAUGCAAGGUAAUUGCAGACAUUGUGAUUGCAAACUUGAAUGAUGACACUUCCAUGACCAGUCGGUAUUAGCUCCAGUCUGAUUCGAAAUGCCUGCUUGAGUUUUGAAGAGAAAGGAUACCUACUGAUUGGUUUCUUGCAAUCAGGUACAAGGCAUGCAAAGGUGGUAUUACAGUGUAGACCAUGAGAUGUAUACAUACAGUGCAUCCGGCCAUUUUUGAAAAUCUUAAAGAACCCAUGUGGAUGUGUGGCCCUGGUAAUGCUAUCUUAGUAUCUUU